rnacentral:rRNA from 1 species
UGGGGAAUAUUGGACAAUGGGCGAAAGCCUGAUCCAGCCAUGCCGCGUGUGUGAAGAAGGUCUUCGGAUUGUAAAGCACUUUAAGUUGGGAGGAAGGGCAUUAACCUAAUACGUUAGUGUUUUGACGUUACCGACAGAAUAAGCACCGGCUAACUCUGUGCCAGCAGCCGCGGUAAUACAGAGGGUGCAAGCGUUAAUCGGAAUUACUGGGCGUAAAGCGCGCGUAGGUGGGUUGUUAAGUUGGAGGUGAAAUCCCCGGGCUCAACCUGGGAACUGUAUUCAAAACUGACUGACUAGAGUAUGGUAGAGGGUGGUGGAAUUUCCUGUGUAGCGGUGAAAUGCGUAGAUAUAGGAAGGAACACCAGUGGCGAAGGCGACCACCUGGACUAAUACUGACACUGAGGUGCGAAAGCGUGGGGAGCAAACA